rnacentral:rRNA from 1 species
GUGGGGAAUCUUCCGCAAUGGACGAAAGUCUGACGGAGCAACGCCGCGUGAGUGAUGAAGGUCUUCGGAUUGUAAAGCUCUGUUAAUCGGGACGAAAGAGCCUAGUGUGAAUAAUGCUAGGAAGUGACGGUACCGGAAUAGAAAGCCACGGCUAACUACGUGCCAGCAGCCGCGGUAAUACGUAGGUGGCAAGCGUUGUCCGGAAUUAUUGGGCGUAAAGCGCGCGCAGGCGGAUCUGCCAGUCUGUCUUAAAAGUUCGGGGCUUAACCCCGUGAUGGGAUGGAAACUACAGAUCUAGAGUAUCGGAGAGGAAAGUGGAAUUCCGAGUGUAGCGGUGAAAUGCGUAGAUAUUAGGAAGAACACCAGUGGCGAAGGCGACUUUCUGGACGAAAACUGACGCUGAGGCGCGAAAGCCAGGGGAGCGAACGGGAUUAGAUACCCCAGUAGUCC